ensembl:lncRNA
GUCACUCUCUUAAUCAGUUACAAAAGUGCUGGGUUUAUACAUUAAUAAUUCUUCAGUUGAUGGAAGGACUUUGCUGUCAGAACACAUUCUUUCAGCUCUCACUGAACUGCUGGACCGGUCCUCAGUUGGCUGGAUGUCUCUAUUUUGGUAGAAAGUUAUUUUUUUCAAUAACUAUCCUAUACUAAUAAAUGUGAAUAAUAUGCUUUAUUAUUCCUGUGGCAAGGCUGCAGUGGCCCACAUGGGUGGUUGGCGAAAUGAAUGUCAUACUGCAGACCUGGUCAGGAAGGCUGCUGCUCCUGAGACAAGGAAGGUGCUGCCUGGUGGGGAAGUAACCAAAGUCAGAUGCUUGCUCCAGUGUUACCCUGGACCACAGCCAACCACAAGCUCUAUGGAGGGGAAGAUUUCCCAUGAGGCCUGCUCUCAAGGCUGGCAGGUGAUGCUGACUUGGCAUUCAGCUUUCGGUUUGAGUUGUCAACCAAAUGUGGUUUGGUUCUCCUCCAGAGAGACUCCACCUGGAGAAUUCUCGCUGCAUGUCUGCUGAAUUCCAAGAAGAAGGCUUCCUAAAAUGAAUGGCGAAAGCUUCUGAACUGUUCAAGUCCAUUUUCAGAAGUUACACAGUGCCAUUUCUGCUACUCUGUGUUGAUGAAAAUAAUCCACAGGAAAAAACUCAGUUUCUAGGAGAGGGAAAAUAGCCUCAAUUCUCAAUGAGACAAAUGGGGAAGACUUUACAGCUAUCUUAUAUGCCCUACUUUCUCAUAUGUCUUCUUGACAAAAACAAAAUAUGUCAGUGGUAACUCAAGAGACCAUUUCCUUUCUUUUAAUCACAAAGUUCAACAAGUUAUACAUAGUUAACAUUACCACAUUUUGACAAUGCUAACUAUACAUUUUUUAUAUUUUAUACAUCAAGAAACAUGAUCAACAGUAUUCUACAUUUAAAACUCCUAGCAUAUUAUUUUUCUUUAUAUGAGGAUGCAGCUUCAAUAGUGGUUUAGAUUAAAUAUUAAAACGAGGGAAUUUUAUGGCAUACUUAGCAUUACUUAUGCUCUUUUCAAACUAUGAAAGUUUAGGAUUUUACUUUGUUCUAUGCUCAAUGUUGUUAUGCUUGAAUGUGAGUGGCAUGACUCUGCUACAAUAAAACCUUUGACAGAUGAAAAAAGAAUGACCA